CCCCUCCCUCCGCUUGAAUCUACAACACCUAAGGCAUGCAAACUAAGAACUAAGGAAUUAAAAUAAGGAAAAGAAAGAUGUCACAAACUUACCUAAUAAGUCGAUCUUCAUUCAUUCGCUCAACAAGACUUUUGAAAGCUACUACCUUUUGAAGAACUUAGUAAAAUGUUAAUUCUUGAAGAAAGAAAAGCUUUAAAUUUUAUUUCUCUCAAAUGGUGUGUUUACAACCUAUGGGCAAAAGCCUUUAUAUAGGCAUUUCUCCGGAUAGUUCUAAAUGGUUACAAACACUUAGAAAACUAAUAAAAUAUUUGUGAUAAGCCAACUCUCCCCUAAGCUUGUCUCGAGUAUAUAAUAUGUAUGAUUGUGUGUAUGCAUGUGAUUAGAAUCAUAAUUAAAGUUCACAUACCAAGUUUCAAGCCAAACAAAAUGAAAACAAUGAGAUUCAGAGAGCCGAAAUUACUUAAGAAGAGUUUUUCCCUCAAUAGAGGAAACAGAGUUUUCUAGAUCCAGGAACACUUCUC
rnacentral:lncRNA from 1 species